rnacentral:rRNA from 1 species
UACGGGAGGCAGCAGUGAGGAAUAUUGGUCAAUGGGCGAGAGCCUGAACCAGCCAAGUAGCGUGCAGGAUGACGGCCCUAUGAGUUGUAAACUGCUUUUAUACGGGGAUAAAGUGGGGGACGUGUCCCCUUUUGCAGGUACCUGUAUGAAUAAGGACCGGCUAAUUCCGUGCCAGCAGCCGCGGUAAU